CUUCUUCAAAGGCUGAAUUAUUGUCUGCACUACGUUCGACUCAAGAGGAAAACAAAUCCUUGAAUGAGACAAACAAGUCCUUGAAUGAUCGCUUGUCUGCCUUAGAAGAUGAGAUAAAAGAAUUAUUUGCUGCUCAACGAUCAUUUGUCCCGCCUACGACAUCGCCCGUUUCAUCCAAAUGAUCACUGAUUUUGUCUGCUAACCAAGCUUGAUGAUGUUGUUGGAUUACACCUAAUGAAUUUAGAUUGCUUUUGGGAUUUUGAAGAUUAAAGUUACAAGUCAAGAUGCAAGUUUAGAAGAUGCACGAACUCAUUAUUAUUUUGCUAGGAAUGUUAUGUAGAACUCGGUAUCAUAGUCUAGCUCGGGUUGUUAGCAAUGUUUUUUUGUUAAGGUGUCGAGCAAAUAUUGAAACUAACAUCAUGGGAUGUUAACCAUUUUAUUGUAAUUAAUAUAACUCUCUCUCUCU